rnacentral:rRNA from 1 species
GACGAACGCUGGCGGCGUGCUUAACACAUGCAAGUCGAACGGAAAGGCUCCAGCUUGCUGGAGUACUCGAGUGGCGAACGGGUGAGUAACACGUGGGUAAUCUGCCCUGCACUCUGGGAUAAGCCUGGGAAACUGGGUCUAAUACUGGAUAUGACCUUUCUCCUUAUGGGGUUUGGUGGAAAGUUUUUCGGUGUAGGAUGAGCCCGCGGCCUAUCAGCUUGUUGGUGGGGUGAUGGCAUACCAAGGCGACGACGGGUAGCCGGCCUGAGAGGGUGAUCGGCGACAUUGGGACUGAGAUACGGCGCAGACUCCUACGGGAGGCAGCAGUGGGGAAUAUUGCACAAUGGGGGGAAGCCUGAUGCAGCGACGCCGCGUGAGGGAUGACGGCCUUCGGGUUGUAAACCUCUUUCAGCAGGGACGAAGCGUAAGUGACGGUACCUGCAGAAGAAGCACCGGCUAACUAUGUG